GCCUAGCUGGCUCAGUUGGUAGAGCAUGUGACUCUUGAUCUCAGGGUUGUGAGUUCAAGCCCCACAACAGGCA
rnacentral:tRNA from 1 species